GACUAUCGGCAACGGAUAUCUCGGCUCACGCAUUGAUGAAGAACGUAGCAAAAUGCGAUACUUGGUGUGAAUUGUAGAAUCACGUGAACCAUCGAGUUUUUGAAUGCAAGUUGAGCACGAAGCCAUUCGGUUGAGGGCACGUCUGCCUGGGUUUCA
rnacentral:rRNA from 11 species